CAGUAGCCACGGUAAUACGUAGGGUGCAAGCGUUAAUCGGAAUUACUGGGCGUAAAGCGUGCGCAGGCGGCUUGGUAAGUUAGAGGUGAAAGCCUGGAGCUCAACUCCAGAAUUGCCUUUAAGACUGCCGAGCUAGCAGGUGAGAGAGGUAAGUGGAAUUCCGAGUGUAGAGGUGAAAUUCGUAGAUAUUCGGAAGAACACCAGUGGCGAAGGCGGCUUACUGGCUCAUACUGGACGCUGAGGUGCGAAAGCGUGGGGAGCAAACAGGAUUAGAUACCCCGGUAGUCCCUGUCUCUUAUAC
rnacentral:rRNA from 1 species